rnacentral:rRNA from 1 species
GGUAGGGUAUUGGCCUACCGUGGCAAUGACGGGUAACGGGGAAUUAGGGUUCGAUUCCGGAGAGGGAGCCUGAGAAACGGCUACCACAUCUAAGGAAGGCAGCAGGCGCGCAAAUUACCCAAUCCUAAUACAGGGAGGUAGUGACAAGAAAUAACAAUACAGGACUUUUUGGUUUUGUAAUUGGAAUGAGUUAAGUAUAAACCCCUUUACAAGUAUCAAUUGGAGGGCAAGUCUGGUGCCAGCAGCCGCGGUAAUUCCAGCUCCAAUAGCGUAUAUUAAAGUUGUUGCAGUUAAAAAGCUCGUAGUUGGAUUUCUGUUAAUAAUUUAUAUAAAAUAUUUUGAUGAAUAUUUAUAUAAUAUUAACAUAAUUCAUAUUACUAUAUAUUUUAGUAUAUGAAAUUUUACUUUGAGAAAAUUAGAGUGCUUAAAGCAGGCAUAUGCCUUGAAUACUCCAGCAUGGAAUAAUAUUAAAGAUUUUUAUCUUUCUUAUUGGUUCUAAGAUAAGAAUAAUGAUUAAUAGGGACAGUUGGGGGCAUUUGUAUUUAACAGUCAGA